CAGCUCAUUUUUAAGAUUUUGAUAAUUGAUAAAUCAUGAUGUUGGGAUUUAACAUUUAGAUAUGCUUUUAUUACUAUUUAACUUUUGAGUUUGGAUUUUGAUAAGAUCAUAUGUAUUUGGUUGAUGAUA